AAGUCGUAACAAGGUUUCCGUAGGUGAACCUGCGGAAGGAUCAUUAACAAAAAAUAUAUUAUUACUGUUAAUAAUUCACCCUUUUUUAUGUGAAAUUUGGUUGUUUGUGAUAUAACUCUGGUAUUGGUUUUUUUCAGACGUAUGGUUUGAAAAUUGAAUUGCCUGCCAGUAGUUUUUAAUCUAAUAAACUAUUAUAGACUUUUUUGUGUGUAUUUGUAAUUAAUCUUUUUGAUGAGUUUUCGGGUAACUUGGGAUGAAUUUCACCUGAAAUGAGUCAAAAGUUUACUCAGAAUCAAGUCAAAAAUCAAUUAACUCAAUACAACUUGCAACAAUGGAUCUCUUGGCUCUU
rnacentral:misc_RNA from 1 species